CCUACGGGUGGCAGCAGUGAGGAAUAUUGGUCAAUGGCCGGAAGUCUGAACCAGCCAAGCCGCGUGAAGGACGACGGUGCCAUGCAUUGUAAACUUCUUUUGUCAAGGGACAAAGUCCAGCUCGUGAGCCUUACCGUGUGUACUUUAAGAAUAAGCAUCGGCUAACUCCGUGCCAGCAGCCGCGGUAAUACGGAGGAUGCGAGCGUUAUCCGGAUUUAUUGGGUUUAAAGGGUGCGUAGGCGGACUGUUAAGUCAGCGGUAAAAGCCCGGGGCUCAACCCCGGCGAGCCGUUGAAACUGGGUGUCUUGAGAGGUCGAGAGGUAGGCGGAAUGCGCAGUGUAGCGGUGAAAUGCUUAGAUAUUGCGCAGAACUCCGAUUGCGAAGGCAGCAUACCGGAGGGGAUCUGACGCUGAGGCACGAAAGCGUGGGUAUCGAACAGGAUUAGAUACCCCAGUAGUC
rnacentral:rRNA from 1 species